rnacentral:rRNA from 1 species
AGUCGAGGGGCAGCAUGGUCUUAGCUUGCUAAGGCUGAUGGCGACCGGCGCACGGGUGAGUAACACGUAUCCAACCUGCCGUCUACUCUUGGCCAGCCUUCUGAAAGGAAGAUUAAUCCAGGAUGGGAUCAUGAGUUCACAUGUCCGCAUGAUUAAAGGUAUUUUCCGGUAGACGAUGGGGAUGCGUUCCAUUAGAUAGUAGGCGGGGUAACGGCCCACCUAGUCAACGAUGGAUAGGGGUUCUGAGAGGAAGGUCCCCCACAUUGGAACUGAGACACGGUCCAAACUCCUACGGGAGGCAGCAGUGAGGAAUAUUGGUCAAUGGGCGAUGGCCUGAACCAGCCAAGUAGCGUGAAGGAUGACUGCCCUAUGGGUUGUAAACUUCUUUUAUAAAGGAAUAAAGUCGGGUAUGCAUACCCGUUUGCAUGUACUUUAUGAAUAAGGAUCGGCUAACUCCGUGCCAGCAGCCGCGGUAAUACGGAGGAUCCGAGCGUUAUCCGGAUUUAUUGGGUUUAAAGGGAGCGUAGAUGGAUGUUUAAGUCAGUUGUGAAAGUUUGCGGCUCAACCGUAAAAUUGCAGUUGAUACUGGAUGUCUUGAGUGCAGUUGAGGCAGGCGGAAUUCGUGGUGUAGCGGUGAAAUGCUUAGAUAUCACGAAGAACUCCGAUUGUGAAGGCAGCCUGCUAAGCUGCAACUGACAUUGAGGCUCGAAAGUGUGGGUAUCA